AGUGAACGCUGGCGGUAGGCCUAACACAUGCAAGUCGAACGGCAGCACAGGAGAGCUUGCUCUCUGGGUGGCGAGUGGCGGACGGGUGAGGAAUACAUCGGAAUCUACCUUUUCGUGGGGGAUAACGUAGGGAAACUUACGCUAAUACCGCAUACGACCUACGGGUGAAAGUGGGGGACCGCAAGGCCUCACGCGAUUAGAUGAGCCGAUGUCCGUUUAGCUAGUUGGCGGGGUAAUGGCCCACCAAGGCGACGAUCGGUAGCUGGUCGGAGAGGAUGAUCAGCCACGCUGGAGCUGAGACACGGUCCAGACUCCUACGGGAGGCAGCAGUGGGGAAUAUUGGACAAUGGGCGCAAGCCUGAUCCAGCCAUACCGCGUGGGUGAAGAAGGCCUUCGGGUUGUAAAGCCCUUUUGUUGGGAAAGAAAUCCUGUCGAUUAAUACUCGGUGGGGAUGACGGUACCCAAAGAAUAAGCACCGGCUAACUUCGUGCCAGCCGCCGCGGUAAUAC
rnacentral:rRNA from 1 species